rnacentral:rRNA from 1 species
GACGAACGCUGGCGGCGUGCUUAACACAUGCAAGUCGAACGGAAAGGCCCUGCUUGCAGGGUACUCGAGUGGCGAACGGGUGAGUAACACGUGGGUGAUCUGCCCUGCACUUCGGGAUAAGCCUGGGAAACUGGGUCUAAUACCGGAUAGGGCCAUUUUUAGUGUGAUGGUUGGAAAGUUUUUUCGGUGUAGGAUGAGCUCGCGGCCUAUCAGCUUGUUGGUGGGGUAAUGGCCUACCAAGGCGGCGACGGGUAGCCGGCCUGAGAGGGUGGACGGCCACAUUGGGACUGAGAUACGGCCCAGACUCCUACGGGAGGCAGCAGUGGGGAAUAUUGCACAAUGGGCGCAAGCCUGAUGCAGCGACGCCGCGUGGGGGAUGACGGCCUUCGGGUUGUAAACUCCUUUCGCUAGGGACGAAGCUUUUUGUGACGGUACCUAGAUAAGAAGCACCGGCUAACUACGUG